rnacentral:rRNA from 1 species
GACGAACGCUGGCGGCGUGCCUAAUACAUGCAAGUAGAACGCUGAAGAGAGGAGCUUACUCUUCUUGGAUGAGUUGCGAACGGGUGAGUAACGCGUAGGUAACCUGCCUUGUAGCGGGGGAUAACUAUUGGAAACGAUAGCUAAUACCGCAUAACAAUGGAUGACACAUGUCCUUUAUUUGAAAGGGGCAAUUGCUCCACUACAAGAUGGACCUGCGUUGUAUUAGCUAGUAGGUGAGGUAAUGGCUCACCUAGGCGACGAUACAUAGCCGACCUGAGAGGGUGAUCGGCCACACUGGGACUGAGACACGGCCCAGACGCCUACGGGAGGCAGCAGUAGGGAAUCUUCGGCAAUGGGGGCAACCCUGACCGAGCAACGCCGCGUGAGUGAAGAAGGUUUUCGGAUCGUAAAGCUCUGUUGUAAGUCAAGAACGGGUGUGAGAGUGGAAAGUUCACACUGUGACGGUAGCUUAACAGAAAGGGACGGCUAACUACGUG